rnacentral:lncRNA from 1 species
UGAUCAGGUGCUCUACGUUAAACCCUCGUUCGAACUUGAUUACAAGGAAAACAGAGAGGAGAGAUCGAUCAUCUCAUCCACAACAAAACCUAUGUAUGAUCAGCAAUCAGUCCCGAAUUCUAGCAGCAGGAGCAAGAGCAGCAGCAGCAGCAAUCGUCCUUUGGCUUCGGCUUGGGCUUUUCCACCUUGAUCUCAUGGACGGAUUCCACAGAAAUACACUUGCGUUUCUUCUCGGUGGCCUUGAGGAUGUCGUCCACCUUGAAAUCACCCGUGAAGGUGUAAAGGGGAUCUUUAACCUCCACUUUCUUCACACCUGCAAGAGCACGAAGAUCUCUUGAUCAGCGAUCAAAAUUUGGGAGAAUUUGCGGAAAUAUACACUCACCGGAGACGCUGUGAUAGAUCUGAGACAUCAUCUUGUCCUUGCAUUUGUUGCAAGAGUCCACUUUCAAGACAACCUGGAGCACAGAGCUCGAGAUCAAACAAGGCUCAACGAAAUCAGCCAGACGCAAUGCUCACCUUCCAAGCCAUCUUGAUUGUCUACGAAUUUGCAGAUGACAGUUGUGAAAUUCGCAGCUUUGACAAGCUUGAGACACUAGAUACCGGAGGACGGAGAAGCGGAAGAGAAGAGGGCCCUGCUGCUGACUGGGGAGACGUCAUGAAUUUAUAUCCGAGCAGCAGUCGUUCCACUCCGUUUACGCAGAAAGUUUCCCGUAGGAAUUGCCGUGUGGAAGCCGUGUUUGUAAUCCCGCGCACGUUCGUAAAAAGAAAACGUUUUUUUAUUAUAAUAUUUUUUAUAUCGAGACCUAGAAUCCAUUUGGCGCCAAAGCCCUAAUUUUUUGAACAGAAAUGUAGGGUUUCAUCUUGAUGGUCCCUGGCGCGCUCACACCGCCUGGAUCGGCACGCUCGUCGUGCGAUGGAAGAUCGCAGGGCGUCAUGAUCCAGAAGGAGCGCCGCCGAAUCUGUGGCAAGCACGGCGUGGAGCCCCACUUCUGCGAUUGCGUCCACGACGCCAUCUUCAUCGCGUGCCUUCGCAAGGUCUGGUAACUGGAUCUUUGCGAGCUUCGAAUUCGCGGAUGGAUUAGAGUACCUCUCCUCGGGGAUGCCAGCGAGUUCCAGCGGCGUUUUGGAGAAUCUCUUCACGCCGUCCAUGCAAGAAACCGCUCAAGGGGUUCCUGCAAGCGCUUGGCGGAAUGCGCGAUUGGAUUCGGCCGCAUGGUGUAAGACUCGAUCUUUGGGUCCGUCCAACAACAUCUGGCACGCUCGCUCGCUCCACUGAUGGUCUCAUCGACGCCAUCAUGGCUUCCACGACAAGGUGAGUGCUCUGCUCUCUCUUUUCUCCAAAGUUUUCCUUGUUUACAGCAUUUCCCCGGAACAGUUACGAUACCAGAAAUCUUCGAGCGAACACACAGGAACACAUAAAGAAAGCAAUCACCCAAACAAUCUGGCGAGCAAAGACGCAAGAACACAUCAAGAAAAAAACCACCCAUGCAAGAACCCAGUUUUAUUCACGCUAUUUGCAGGCUCAGAUCUCCAGUUCCAGCUCUUCCAGAUGGAUUCCUCCGUGCACUCUCGCUUUGUUAUCUGUUUAGAAGCAAACACGAGGUUUGUAUACAGACAAAAAGUUGUAAGAGUUAACCUCUUUCGAGUUUUCGUUGAAUCCCGCAAAGAAUUUAUUGCCUUUGGCGUUACCUCCAAUGGCUCCAGUCGGUGUAAUCGUUGUUGACGACGUGGAAGUAUCCAUGUCGGCAUCUACAAAAGCAGAAGAAGAAGACGAAAUCCUGUUCGAACGGGGCAAUACAAGUUUACGAUCACUUUGGACAGCAUCCUUUUUCUUUCUUAGCUCACAGCAGCACGACAUUCUGAUCUGCGAUCUACGAGAUCCGAGCAACCCUACGUCGCGGCGCGGAAUGGAGCGUACUUCAUCACAUCUGGAGCUGGAUCCGGAAGGAAUAAGCGAGCGUGUUCCAUCGCUAGCUCCAUCUCUCUCCUCCAUCUCAAUGGAAGAAAGAAGAAGGAAAGUCUGGCAACCUCCGCCGGGAAUGGAUGAACACUGGAAAGAGUUCUCUAGCCCUGGCACGGAAGCGUUCUCUCCAUUUAUGAAACAAAGAAAGAAGUUGUACCUCUGGAAGUUUUGCUUGAUAGUAUCCUGAAGAACUUCUUAGCUCUUGCUUCCCUUGACAUGCCUAAACGCUGCUUGACACAAGUUAGUAAUGAAGCAGUCGCCACAGCAAGGCCAAGCGGAUUGCAAAUGGUCUGACCAAAUCCAUGCAUGAAAAAAACAUGGAACAAAAUGGAUUGAUCGGAACCCAUUCUUCCCCCGGCAACCACGACUCUAGCGAGAUCCACGUCUCCUCUGGAGUUUUCGUGUCCUUUCAAAGCAAACAAGUAUGGAUCACAGUAUAGAGAGAACUUUGCUGGAAGAAACAACGUACGAAGCGUUUUUUUGGAUGUUGAUUUUGGAUAUGAUACGCAUUCCAGUCGGUUUGUAAUCCGGUGGACGUGAGUGUCGACACAAAUGCAUGCACGCUCUCCACGUUCAUCACCUACAUAAAGUUUUGGAAGGCAAAAUGAUUUAUAAAUAAAAUAUAAAUGAGACAAAACAGAUAUAAAGCUAUAAUAUAUAAAUAAAAAAUACAUAUAACUCAAUAUAUUAUUCUAAAUGAACAAAUAAACGAACACAACGAAAAAAUAAUAUAGUAUACACAAGGUACAACAUGAAUAUGGAAAUUCCUGUCCUACAAAUUUCAGCUUACCAAAUAACACAAGAAAAAUACAAAUAGUAUAUAAAAUAUUACAUUUAAAAAAGAAAAUAGCAAUUGAAAUAACACAAAAAAUAGCAACGGAAAAUGGACUAGUAAAUGGAGCAGAUGGAGUAUUAUAAAAUGUAACCCAUAUCAAAGAAGAAAACAUAAUAGAUAGAAUCCCCAAAUAUAGAAACAGGUGAAAAAACAAAAGCUAAAGAGUAAAUAAAAAUAAUUUUAAAAAACAAGAUACCAAUAAGAAAAGUAACAAGAAUAAUAAAUAUUGCUAAAAUCCAAAAUUAUGUUUUAAACAGAACCCACCAUAUGUAGGAAGAAUAAUACACAGAGCUUAAGGAUCAACAGUAAAACAAUUAGAAUAUGACCUGUAUAAAACAAAAUAUCAAAGACAAGCAUAUAUAACAUUAUCAAGAGCACAAACAUUAGAGGUAAUAAAGAUGCAGCUAAAGACAUAAUAAGAAUGACAACAGAAGCACCAUGGCAAAUUAAUUUAAUAGAUUUACAAAAAGAGAAAAAAUCUAACCGAACUAAUACAAGUUUUAAAUAUAACAUCUGUUACAGCAUAUCAAGAAGAUAUAAAGAGUGUUUCAAAAUUAUUAACAUUAAAUAUAAUGUUUAUAUAUAUAUAUAUAUAUAUAUAUAUAUGAAAACCCAUAUAGCAAUAUUUCAUACAAAUGACUAUAAAUCAGAAAAAGUAAAACAUUUAAAAACAGAAAAAAUGGCAAUGUCAUAUAUAUCACUAGUGAAAAAUAAUAAAUAAAUACAAAUACUAAAUUUACAUAGAAAACCUGGAACAAUUAUAUAAAUAUUUAUAAAAUAACUACAUAUGUAUAUAUAUAUAAAAUAAUUACAGGAAAUUUCAAUAUUGACUAUCAAAAUGAAGAAGCAAAACCAAUGGAGAUAUAUAUAAAUAAUAAAAGACAAUACACAUUAUAAGAAACUAAUAGAUCAUAUGUGGAUAAAAGAUAUAAUGAAGUAGUACCAGCAUACUGGACAGAUCAAAACAAAUUAUAUAGUAAAAAAUAUUUAAAAAAAAAAAAACAAAACAAGCAUUGCUGCAACACAAUGUACAGCAAUUUAUUUUGUGUUGCUGAUUACGCAAACUGUUAUAAAUGGGAGAGUUUGAGAAUAUUCACAAAAUAUUAUUAUUCUAUAGCGGGGAUUUAAUGUGCUAGGGCUGGCGGCCGGACGAGGCCGUGAUCUGCAACAUAAUUGAAUGUUUAUAAUGUUAAACCUUUUUACUAUGUAACAUUUAUUCCUUGGAGAAACUACAUGGUUAACUAAACCAAAGAUAACUGGUCAUCUAGCACCAACUUGAGGAACACCCAAUUGCUGGUCUGACGAAUGAGCCUAGCAGCUCAUCUAGACAAAAGUGGGAUGAAUCUAGUUGCCAUAAAACUUAGGCCAGGGCAUUGAGAUGGAACAGCUGUUUGCAGGGUGACAGCCCAACAGUGGAAAGAAGAGUGGGAUGAGGGAUCCUUGUCCUCGCAGUUGAGCAAAAACUGGAUGUAUGCGGAUCCAUCAUACACGUGGUGCUCUCUCUCCAGGAGUGCAGAUGAAAGGUAUGUGGAUUAUAUUGCCCAGCUCCUGUUCGACGAUCUGCUGCCUCCACCUUAAUUGUCUUGGGAAAUCACAGCUUUGAUAGCAGCUGAGACACUAGAUAGACGGAGAGCGGAGAGGGCAAAGCCGUACAUACUUGGAGCGGAAGAUGGACUGGUGGUUCUAUAUUAAUCAUAGAUUAAUAUAAGUAAUUUGAAUUAUAUCCAAAUCUGAACAAACCAUAAACCUGUAGACCAAGUCAAUGUUUUGAACGAGGAUUUGACUUGACCAUUGAAUAGUCAAGCACGUUCACACAGGUUAGCAAGCUACGUACAGCACGCAUUACUUUUUUGAAGCUUCUAUGAUUCUCCCACUGAUUCCUUCAUGCAGGCUUUGUGUGUCAACAUCCUUGAAAUUUAAACAUUUCCGCUCCCGCAAAGAUGGGAAGGACCAUUUCAACGUAGCACUCGCGUGCUCUGGAUGUUAGAUUGACAAUCUCAAUCCUAUUGCAACAAAAACUUGGUGAAAGAAACCGAAACCCCUCGUUCGAUUUGAUUAGAACUUACAUGAGAGGAGAGAUUGAUCAUCUCAUCCACAACAAAACCUCUUUAUGAUCAGUAAUCAGUCACGAAUUCUAGCAGCAGCAGCAAGAGCAGCGGCAGCAGCAGCAAUCGUCCUUUGGCUUGGGCUUUUCCACCUUGAUCUCCUGGACGGAUUCCACAGAAAUACACUUGCGUUUCUUCUCGGUGGCCUUGAGGAUGUCGUCCACCUUGAAAUCACCCGUGAAGGUGUAAAGGGGAUCGUUAACCUCCACUUUCUUCACACCUGCAAGAGAAGAUCUCUUGAUCAGCGAUCAAAAUUUGGGAGAAUUUGCGGAAAUCCACACUCACCGGAGACGCCGUGAUAGAUCUGAGACAUCAUCCUGUCCUUGCAUUUGUUGCAAGAGUCCACUUUCAAGACAACCUGCAGCACAGGGCUCGAGAUCAAACAAGGCUCAACGAAAUCAGAGACGCAAUGCUCACCUUCCAAGCCAUCUUGAUUGUCUACGAAUUUGCAGAUCACAGUUGUGAAAUUCGCAGCUUUGACAAGCUUGAGACACUAGAUACGGAAUGAAGAGGGCCCUGCUGCUGACUGGGGAGACGUCAUGAAUUUAUAUCCGAGCAGCAGUCGGAUGGAAUGCUUUCCACUCGUUUUACGCGGAAAGUUUCCCGUAGAAAUUGCCGCGUGGAAGCCGUCUUUGUAUGUACGAUGAAUCCCGCGCACGUUCGUAAAGAGAAAACGUUUUUUUUAUUAUAAUACUUUUUAUAUCGAGUUUGGCGCCAAAGCCCUAAUUGUUUGAACAGAAAUGUAGGGUUUGAUCGCUGGCGUGCAAGACCUUGCGCGCUCACACCGCCUGGAUCGGCACUGUUGUCGUGCGGUGGAAGAUCGCCCCCAAUUCGACAACCAGGGCGUCAUGAUCCAGAAGGAGCGCCGCUCGAAUCUGUGGCAAGCACGAAACAAAGAACAAGGCCAGAGAACUCUUCCGUUCCUGGCCGAGGUUGCCAAACUUUCCUUCUUCUUUCUUCUAUGAAGAUGGAGAUGGAGCUCCAAUCUCUCUCCAUCAUCUAACCAUCCUUCUAGCGAUGGAACACACUCACUUAUUCCAUCCAGAAACCUUAAAAACAUCAUAGUCCGCAUGGAUAAUUAAGAGGGCGAGACCGAUCGACAAGCUAUAGGAGUAAUGUUGUACAGCUGCUGAUGACGUGGCGAUGAUCAUCCUCAAGUCAGCAUGGAAAUCCUACUCCGCAGGGAAUUGCUCCUGUCGAGAGAGUUAACUCACCAAUGUAGGCCGUGGGCUUGGCAGCGAGGCUCGAGGUUUUGCCAUAGACCGAUCCAGCUCUCCAGACGUGAUGAAGUACGCUCCAUUCAGGAACAAGUUCUUCUCGGAUCUCCCGUGCCAGCUCUUCCAGAUUGAUUUCUCAGUGUACUCUCGCUUUAUGAUCAAACAUCAGUUUUGUAGCCUAUACAAAGAAAAAGUUCAAAAAAGCUUUACCUCUUUCGAGUUUUUGCAAAGAAUGUAUUGCCUUCGGCGUUAAUUGUGGGAUUUGGGCUGCCUCCAAUGAUGUGUAUCUUCCAUUCAUUUAGUUGUAGCUUUAUGAUAUUAGCAUUUGUGUAGUCAUGGUUGACGACGUGGAAGUAUCCGUGUCGUGUCGGCAUCUACCAAAGCAAAAGAAGAAAACGAAAUCCAGUUUAGAAAAGCCAAACCCGUGCGCAAAGAAAGCAAAAGCAUGAGGCUGACCUCGGCAUUCUUUCGACUAAACCCUGUUUAAAGUGAUUAUAAGCUACAGUCACUUGCAUUGCCCGGUCCGCAGUGUAAUCGUCGUUGUGUCCCAGGAGCAUCCAAAGCGUGAAAAAAACCAGUUACGAUACCAGAAAAAGACACAAGAACACACAAGAAAACUUCAAGAUGAUCCACAGCGGAUCAUGCCGUAGCGCAGCGUGCCGGGCUUGGGAUUCACUGGGUUUUCGUCGCACAAAGUAGAUCUCCCCGUUCUUACCCCCGAGGCCAAAUCCUCGCGCAUUCAGCCAAGCGUUUGCGAUUGUUGUGCCAGUUUGGGUCGCAGCGCCAGCAGUCGUCGAUCGGAUUGCCGCUGCUACCACAACAGAACGCUACCUCCGAGAAAGAAACAAACAAACCCGGAGUGAGUUGAAACUUUGCUCGAUCUCCUCCACCUCCGGGCAGCGCUCCAAAGAUUCAGAUAGUGUAGUCCAAAGACGAGGAAAAACAAAGCCAAGAAAAUGUGGGUGGGUUUCUAGGCUAUAGUUUAUUAUGGAUGAGCAAGAGGAGCAGCAAGAUGCGGAGGACGCGCUCGUCCUCUUCCCAGCGCCAGCGCUAGCAGACCUUGUGGAGGCGCGCGAUGACGCUGGAGAUGGCGUCGUGGACGUAAUCGCAGAGGUGGAGCUCCACGCCGUUCCCUGGUUGUCGAAUUGGGGGCGAUCUUCCACCGGCGGCCAUCGCACGAAGCAAGCCGAUCUAGGAGGUGUGAGCGUGCCAGGCCUUGCAGACCGUCAGCAACAAAAGGAGAUUGAGAGCGUGGUACCGGAAGAUCUGGAGGAAGCGCUCCAAGAAAGAGAUUUCUUUCAAAAAAUUAUGACAAAUUUGAAAAACUCAGUUGGCGGUCAAUUGGCGCCAAAAUCCAAAAUGGGGUGAGAGAGGCUCGAACUCUCGACCUCAGGAUUUCUCAGGAGCUAUGAGACCUACGCGCUGACCAACUGUGCCACCACCUCUUCUAGAAACUUCUUAUAUAAUUAUAAGUCAAACCGUGCAUUUUAUUUUUCAUCAGAUUCAUUGGACGUAAGUUCAAGCAAGGACGCCUUCCACGCGGCAAUUCCUAUGCGAAACUUUAAGCGGAAAACCGAGUGGAAAGCAUUCCAUCUGACUGGAAAUCUUGCGUCGCACGUUACUCGGGUAUAAAUUCAUGACGUCUCCCCAGUCAGCAGCAGGGCCCUCUUCUCUUCUGCUUCUCCGUCUCUCCGACUCUCGUGGAUAUUGGUAUCGCUUGUCAAAGAGCUGCGAAUCCGUGAUCUUCUCGAUCAAAUUCGUAGACAAUUAAGAUGGCUUGGAAGGUGAGCAUUGCGUCUGGCUGAUUUCGUUGAUUGUUUGAUCUCGAGCUCUGCGCUGUAGGUUGUCUUGAAAGUGGACUCUUGCAACAAAUGCAAGGACAAGAUUAUGUCUCAGAUCUAUCACGGCGUCUCCGGUGAGUGUACAUUUCCGCGAAUUCUCCCAAAUUUCGAUGCUGUGAUCGCUGAACAAGAGAUCUUCAUGCUCUUGCAGGUGUGAAGAAAGUUGAGGUUAAAGAUCCCCUUUACACCUUCACAGGUGAUUUCAAGGUGGACGACAUCCUCAAGGCCAUCGAGAAGAAACGGAAGUGUAUAUCUGUGGAAUCCGUCCAGGAGAUCAAGGUGGAAAAGCCCAAGCCGAAGCCAAAGGACGAUUGCUGCUGCUGCUGCUCCUGCUCCUGCUGCUAGAAUUCCGGACUGAUGACUGACGAUAAAGAGUUUUGUUGUGGAUGAGAUGAUCGAUCUCUCCUCUGUGUUUUCCUUGUAAUCAAUUUCGAACGAGUGUUUAACGUAGAGCACCAGAUCAUUCAGUUUCU